rnacentral:misc_RNA from 1 species
CGCACCUUGCGCUCCUUGGUAUUCCGAGGAGCAUGCCUGUUUGAGUGUCAUUAAAUUCUCAACCAUUCAAGUUUUUAUUAACUCGUAUGGCUUGGAUCAUGGGAUUUGCGGGCUUCUUUAAGUCGGCUAUCCUUAAAUGCAUUAGCAGAGCUUUUGCCGCUAACCAUUGGUGUGAUAGUUAUCUACGCCAUUAGUGAACGGCAUGAAUGGAGCUUAGCUUCUAAUCGUCUUUACAGACAACAUUUGACAAUCUGACCUCAAAUCAGGUAGGACUACCCGCUGAACUUAA